rnacentral:misc_RNA from 1 species
GUCAAUUCAAUCUGCGAAAAUAUUUGUGACCUGGUGUGUCUCCCAAGAAUAUUGGUUAAUUUGCAGUAGAUGAUGUAGUUAUAAUUACUCUCACAGGGCAAUCGUGAGUAUUGAGUGGGGUUCAAUUUUGAAUUCCAUUCUAAUUAACAAAAAUGAAAUUGUCUCUUCUCCCCCAAGUGUGAUGUGAAUGACGCCUGCUAUGUAUCAUAUCCAGUGC